rnacentral:lncRNA from 1 species
UAACUUUAAUUUUGUCUCAGUCAGUUAUAUUCCCAAUAAUGCUCGAUACCAAACCCUGCAGAAUUCACCAGCUUCUAGCAAAAAAUUCAUUUCUUUCUCUCUAAUGCCUUUGCAUGUCAACUAGAGUUUGACUGAUGUUGGUUGGACUAGAUUCCAGGUUGGAGGUUUGCUUUGGGUUCCUAUAUGGGACUGGUGGACUCUCCUGAAUGUGUGGACUUUCUCAGGGCUGUGUAGACCUGCAGGAGGGCAAGUCCAAUUGCUCAGGUAAGUUUCACUUUCUUUAUCUGUCUUAGAACUUUAUUUAUUUAACUUACAAAUUGACGUAUCAUUGUUUAUAACAUUAUAUGUUUCGUGUGUGUAUGUGCUAUA